GAUGAACGCUGGCGGCGCGCCUAACACAUGCAAGUCGAACGGCACCCACCUCCGGGUGGAAGCGAGUGGCGAACGGCUGAGUAACACGUGGAGAACCUGCCCCCUCCCCCGGGAUAGCCGCCCGAAAGGACGGGUAAUACCGGAUACCCCGGGGUGCCGCAUGGCACCCCGGCUAAAGCCCCGACGGGAGGGGAUGGCUCCGCGGCCCAUCAGGUAGACGGCGGGGUGACGGCCCACCGUGCCGACAACGGGUAGCCGGGUUGAGAGACCGACCGGCCAGAUUGGGACUGAGACACGGCCCAGACUCCUACGGGAGGCAGCAGUGGGGAAUCUUGCGCAAUGGGGGGAACCCUGACGCAGCGACGCCGCGUGCGGGACGGAGGCCUUCGGGUCGUAAACCGCUUUCAGCAGGGAAGAGUCAAGACUGUACCUGCAGAAGAAGCCCCGGCUAACUACGUGCCAGCAGCCGCCGCAG
rnacentral:rRNA from 1 species